rnacentral:rRNA from 1 species
CAAUAGCGUAUACUAAAGUUGUUGCAGUUAAAAGCUCGUAGUUGGAUUUCUGAUUGUUAAGCUCGGUCUGCUUCGCAAGGAGUGUGUACUAGAGUUUGGCGGUCAUCCUCGAAGUAUUGUAUGUCUGGCAUUCAGUUGUCGGGCAUAUGAUCUUCGUCAUUUACUGUGAGUAAACUAGAGUGUUCAAAGCAGGCUUAGGCCGUUGAAUACAUUAGCAUGGAAUAAUAAGAUAGGACCUUGGUCUAUUUUGUUGGUUUAUUUUCCAAGGUAAUGAUUAAUAGGGAUAGUUGGGGGUAUUCGUAUUCAAUUGUCAGAGGUGAAAUUCUUGGAUUUAUGGAAGACGAACUACUGCGAAAGCAUUUACCAAGGAUGUUUUCAUUAAUCAAGAACGAAAGUUAGGGGAUCGAAGACGAUCAGAUACCGU